rnacentral:rRNA from 1 species
AAAUUUUUACAACAAGCACUUAAUAAGAACCUUGGUAAAAAAUUUUGGACGUUUCGCUGCGAAAAGUUAUAAGGAGGCAUUGGCUUGUGAUUUAUAAAUUUCCAUAUUAAAAGUAAACUUACUAAAAUUUUUUAUGAAACAGUGUGAAUUGAAUCAUCUAAGUAACAUUGGUAAUAAAUCAAUCGAGAAAUCGUUAGUAAUGGUGAAUGAACGCGAUACAAAAGCUUAAUAAAAGUUAAAUUUAUAAUUUACGAAAAAGGUAGAAGUCCUGUAAUAAUGAAAACUUUUUAAAUAGAAUUUCUAAGUAAUAUGAAUUUUAAUUUGUAUGAACAAAGGAGAACCACCUUCUAAGCUUAAAAAAUUUUUUAACCUAUAGUGUACGAGUACCGUGAGGGAAAGGUAAAGACGUUCGAAUAGAACAAAUUUAAGUUAAGUGUUUAUAAGUUUUCGAAGUAUAAAACAACGAAGUGCCUUUUGCAUAAUGAAUCAGCAAGUUAAUAUAUAUUGCAAGCUUAAGUAUUAAUAAAUAGGCUUUUUAUAGUAAUAUGUAUUAUACCUGAAACCAAGUGAUCUAGUUGUAAGCAAGUUGAAAAUACGUUAAAAUGUUUUUGAGGACUGAACUCGUACAUGUAGCAAAAUGUAGAGAUGACUUAUAGCUAGGAGCGAAAGACUAAUCAAACUUGGAGAUAGCCGGUUUUUCACGAAACGUAUUUUAGUACUACGUUAAUUAUUUUAAACCUUAAGUUAGAGUACAGAAUAAACAAAGGGAUGUAAAAAUUUACUGAGUUUUUUUUAACUCCGAAUUAAAGUAUUAAAAAAAUUAGCAGACAGUCUAUGAGCGAUAAGGUUUAUGGACGAAAGGAAAACAAUCCAGAUCGAAUACUAAGAUUUCUAAAUUAAAACUUAGGGAAAAAAAUUAAAUAAAGUUCAAAUAAUGCUGUUGUUAGGCUUAGAAGCAGCCUUUCAUUAGAGAAAGCGUUUUAGCUCACUAUUUUUCUUUUUUUAGUUUAAAAUGUAGCGAAACUUUAAGUUUUAUAUCGAAGUAGCGAAUUAAUGUAUAAUUAAUGGUAGUGAAACGUUCUGCAAAAUUUUUUUAAUUGUAAAAUUAUGAAAAAUUAGCAGAAAUGCUAAUGCUGAUAUGAGUAGCGAAAAUUACGUUAAAAAAUCGUAAUCACUGAAAGUUUAAGGGUUUCAAUGUAAUUUUAACUUCAUUGAGUUAGUCGGUCCUUAAGAGGUGAAUAAAAAUUGUACUCGAUAGGAAAUCAAUAAAAUAUAUUGAACUUUUUAUAUGUGUUUAAAAAACAUGAAAAAAAUAGUUAAGAUAAUUUUAUACAUCAUUAUAUAAAUGAAGGCAAAAAAUUAAUUUAAGCUAUUUUCGAGAAAAAAUUAUAGAAAAAUAAACCGUACUUAAACCGACACAGGUAAAUUUAUUGAGAAAAUUAUAAGUGAAUGAAAGAAUUGUAUUGAAGGAACUCGGCAAAUUAACUCUGUACGUUCGCUAUAAAGAGAGCCUUGUAAAAGGUAACAUAAAAUAAGAAGUAACGACUGGUUAACAAAACCACAGGACUCUGCAAAUUUGUGAUAAAAAGUAUAGAGUCUGAAGCCUGCCCAGUGCUUAAAAAUAAAAAAUUUAGGUUCAAGCUUAUUUUUUAAAUCUAAGUAAACGGCGGUUCUAACUAUAAGAAUCCUUAGGUAGCGAAAUUCCUUGACGGGUAAAUUCCGUCCUGCAUGAAUGGCGUAACGAUUACUUCACUGUCUCCAAUACAACUUCAGCGAAAUUACAUUAUCUAUGAAAAUGUAGAUUACUUGCAGUAAGACGGAAAGACCCUAGAUCCUUUACUUUAAUUUUAAAUUGUAAAAAAUUGUUUGUAUGCAAAGAAUAAGUGGGAAUAAAUCUAUUAUAUCCUUGAAAUACCACUCGUUAAAUUUAAUUUUUCACUGAAUUUGUAAAUAGUAUUAUAAAGACCGUUUAAAAGAGAAAGUUUACUUGGGACGAGUACCUCCUAAAUAGUAACGGAGGUGUACGAAGGUAAGUAACAAUUAUUCAUCUGAAUAAUGAAGAGCAUAAUGGUAUAAGCUUGCUUGACAAUAAGAUCUAUAAAUCAAAUUGCGACGAAAGUCUGUCAUAGUGACCCGAUAUUUAAGUGUGGAAUUAAUAUCGUUCAACAAAUAAAAGGAACUCUAGGGAUAACAGAUUCAUCGUGACUGAGAGUUCGUAUUGACGUCACGGUUUGAUACCUCGAUGUCGACUCAUCUUAUCCUGGAAUUGAAGUAGAUUUCAAGGGUCUAGUUGUUCGCUAGUGAAAAAGGUACGUGAGUUGGGUUCAGAACGUCGUGAGACAGUUCGGUCCCUAUCUACUGUAAGGAAAGAAAAAUAAAAAGUGUAUUCUUAGUACGAGAGGACCAGAAUAUUCUAACCUAUGAUAAAUUGAUUGUUAUGCCAAUAGCAUCGUCAAGUAGUUAAGUUAGUUUUAAAUAAACACUGAAUGAAUCAAAUGUGUUAAGUAUUCUUUUAUAUUUUUCAUGAAUAGUCUGAAAGAUUAUCAGAUAGAUCGGUUUGAAAAUAUGUUUUAGUAAUAAAUAAUCUUUAAUAAAUCCGAAUUAUUCAAAAAAAUUUU